rnacentral:rRNA from 1 species
AUGCCUGUUAGUUAUUCCACACUUAGAGAUUCUGAUUGGGAGUUCAUAGUGGCUAAAUACCUUAAAAGAUUCGAGGCAUGGAUCGGUAAUGCUGCAUCCAUGGGGGGCAGACUAACUUUGUUGGACUCAAUUGUCACCCAAAUAUCCUUAUAUCAUAUGUCUAUGUGGCUUAUGAGCAAAACCUUCAUUGAAAACUUGAUAAACAUAGAAGGAAAUUCUUUUGGCAAGGUUGUAACAAGAAAAGGAGGUAUCAUUUGGUCAAAUGGGGCAGAAUAUGUAGAUCUCGAGAUAAAGGUGGCCUGGGAGUUAAAGAUCUUCCUAAACAAAACAUUAGUUUGA